AACGAGGCCGACCUGCGGCUGAGUUACCUGCGGAAGGAUCAUUAAUAAAUGUUACUUCGGUAACUUAAUUAAUCCCUAACACCUGUGCAUCUUGUCGCUUCGGCGUCAUUUUAUAAACAUCAGUGUAAUGAAUGUAACGUAUUAUAACAAAUACAACUUUCAACAAUGGAUCU
rnacentral:misc_RNA from 1 species